ensembl:lncRNA SPOPL-DT SPOPL divergent transcript
CCCGGAUUUGCCGCCGCGCUUGGGAAGCCGCCACCGCCGCCGCUGCUGCAUGGCACUAGGCUCCCGGCGGGGCAGGUUCCGCAGCCGGCACCGCUCUGGCUAGGCGCACGGAGGCGCCUUGCUUAGUCUGACCCUUAUUUGGCCAGGCGUAAAACUUGUCCUGCCUAAAAGCCUACUGAGACCUCCUAACUGGUCUAAUCCGCGGGAGACGCCAAAGGCGGCGGCCGUUUGUGCGCACAGGAUUUUUCUUGGAGCUGUAGCAGUCUAGGAAGCCAGGGUGGAACUUUUGCUAAGCUCCCGUUGUAAGCCCAGAGCUGUAAUAACUGCUGAGACACAACCAGCAGUAUACAGGCUCCAGUUGGAAAUCGAGAACUUUCCAGGGCUGUCACCCAGGCUGGAGUGCAGUGGUGCCAUCACAGCUCACUGCAGCCUCGACCUCCUAGGCUAAAGUGAUCCUCCCAACUCAGCCUCCCGUAGCUGGGACUACAGGAAUGUGCCACGCCCAGGGAACUAAUGGCUGGACUUUAGAAAUAGCUAGGCCUGCACUUUUUUCCCUGCUAAGAAAGGGAGUACUUAGCAGCUGUGUUGAAGAAAACACAAUAAAACAAAGAAUAACAACGAAACAGCUGAAUGAUUUAAGUCACCAAAUGGCUCCUCCUGGAAGCAGGGCAAUCUAUGAUUAUGAUGUUUGUCAUCUCAGGUGAUUUGGCUGAUUUGCCUAGGCAGCUCUUCUGGCAGGUGUGAAGUGGUAUCUCACUAUGGCUAAUAGGCAUUAUUUCUCUGGUGACUAUGGAUGUCAUGCACAUUUUCAUAAGUUUAAUGGCCAUCUAGAUAUCCCUUUCUGUGAAGGACCUGCUCAAGUCUUUGUGCAUUUUUCUAUUAGAAUGUGUCCUUUUUUAAAUAAAAAAUUGAUUUGUACAUUUUUAAA